rnacentral:lncRNA from 1 species
ACCGUGGGGAUGAAGUGACCUGUUUGCUGGAAACUGUGUGGCACUGUUCCCAGGUCUGUGAUUUCCAAGUUUUGCAGAGGAAACUGCUCUGAGACCAGAGAACUGCAUCUGUCUGACGAAAUCAGCCACUGUCUGUAGUAGCCCUUUCUAAACCGGCACUCAGCGGGCAGCUGGGAGCCCGAGGUGGCUCGCGUGCACCAAGGGAGUGUGGGAAACACCUCAACCAUACCUCCCUUCGUGGACAUCAGGCUGCUUAUUGGUAUUAUAAAGAUGCUGCACAAUCUGCAAUAAACAAAUAAUUUUAGUUUGCUUUAACCUCGCGUUUCCCAAGUGCACUCUUCUAGUACAGAAUCCCUGCUACGAGGCCCUGUGGGCUGCACUGCGGACAAGCACGGAUCUGCACAAUCAAUAGUAUGGAAAUCAACAAAGCCGUUGGUCUCCGGGUCACCCGUGGAGACAGGAAAAUGCAGUUGGAGACUGGUGACCACCCACAGCAGUUCCUGAAUUGGGCCAUCAGACCCACCAGCAGGGAGGUGAUCUUGCCUCUCCCUGCUGGACAGGCAGUCCCACUGGGGGACGGAGUGGCCAGGCUGGGUCAGCGGCUGACAGUCAUGCAAUGACCACAGCUUGGGGACAGCAAACCGCUUCGGAGCCUUGCAAUCUUGGCGGAGUCUGCCUGAAAAGAUGACAAUCUGUAGCUCUUCUGCCACCUCCCCUGUCUCCGCAAAUAAGGGUUGGGUCGUUAGCGUUUUAAUUUAUUUAUUUAUUAAUUUUUAAAGAGACAUUUCCCCUUUCUCUCCUCGGGUCUGGAGUCAUUAAACAGGGAUUAGCUGGAUAAAUAGAGGAAGUGAUUUUUAAACUGUUUGCAAACUUAAUGUGAAGAGCCCAGCCUUGCAAAUUAUCACGUCUAAUCAGAGGCCCUCGCUUCACUGCUCCAGUAAUUGUACUGGUAUUAGUCAAAUUCUUGUUGUCUCCUCAUUAGCCGUGAAAAGGAGACUCAAGAUGUACUUCAUUAGAGUGUCCUGGAAAUAUAUUGCUAAU